GAGAGUUUGAUUCUGGCUCAGGAUGAACGCUGGCGGCGUGCUUAACACAUGCAAGUCGAGCGCGGUCCCUUUGGUGCUUGCACCAGAGAAGACUGAGCGGCGGACGGGUGAGUAACGCGUGGGUAACCUGCCCUAUACACAUGGAUAACAUGCUGAAAAGCAUACUAAUACAUGAUAACGUACACUGAUGGCAUCUUCGGUGUAUCAAAGCGUUAGCGGUAUAGGAUGGACCCGCGUCUGAUUAGCUAGUUGGUGGGGUAAAAGCCUACCAAGGCCACGAUCAGUAGCCGACCUGAGAGGGUGAUCGGCCACAUUGGAACUGAGACACGGUCCAAACUCCUACGGGAGGCAGCAGUGGGGAAUAUUGCACAAUGGGCGAAAGCCUGAUGCAGCAACGCCGCGUGAGCGAUGAAGGUCUUCGGAUCGUAAAGUUCUGUCGCAGGGGAAGAUAAUGACGGUACCCUGUGAGGAAGCACCGGCUAA
rnacentral:rRNA from 1 species